rnacentral:lncRNA from 1 species
GCUGGAGGCAGCCAUGGCAGCCUGGGCCCCGGUCAGCAGCCCAGCUGGGGCCCUGCGAGUCCGUCUGCCGGAUUUCCUGUGAGUGGAGGGAGAGAGCACCCAGCUCUGCCCAUGGGUCAUUGUGCCUCAUCCACUCCUCGUAGGUAUAGUGCGGAGGGCGGCGCCCUGUGUGGGAGAAAGCCCUUCCAUGGUAGAGACCCCUCCCUCCAGCGGCAGCCAGUGCCCCCACCACACUCAGGACGUCCUUAAAGCCCGGGCUCCUCCUCCGUCAGCGGUUUAACUGGCCACGGUUCUGGUUCUGGCAAUGAACAGAUUCCAGUGAUUUAAAUGGCCUGCCUGCCCGCAGGCUGGCCCAGGGCAGAGCCUCUGCCUCUUCCCGCCUCCAGGACCACAGAGAGCCCAGGCACGACUUCCCCGGGCUCUGGCAAGGUCUGUCUGCUCUGACGCUGGAUCCUUGGGAAUCCCGAGGACUCUGCUGCCUUCCAGCACACACGGAGGAUGGCUCAGGACAUGCUUCUGCCUCCCAAGAGCCUCCUUGUCUGUGACCAGCUGGAAGGAGAGAGCCAGGUCAGAACUCUGGCCCCCCGGGAGUGAGCCUGCUGCUGGCCUGCUGGGAUGUGUCUUAGUGCAGCCCUCCCCAGCGAUGUCGCUGACCUGGGCCGAGGCACCCAGUCUUUACUCUGGCUGUCGGGAGAACCUUUCCUUCACUGCCAGCCCCAGGGCUCUGAACAGUGGCUAAGCUUCUCAGGGCUGGCUCUUCAGAGAUGCGCUGCGCCUUCAGGAGGACUGUAGAA